rnacentral:pre_miRNA from 1 species
AUACACAUCACCUGGAGAGCUUGUUAAAAUGCAGAUUCUGAUUUAGUAGGCCUGGGUGGAGUCUGAGAAUCUGCAUUUCUAAAAAGUUCUUGGGUAAUACUGAU